rnacentral:rRNA from 1 species
AUUGAACGCUGGCGGCAUGCCUUACACAUGCAAGUCGAACGGCAGCGCGGGAGCAAUCCUGGCGGCGAGUGGCGAACGGGUGAGUAAUAUAUCGGAACGUGCCCAGUAGUGGGGGAUAGCCCGGCGAAAGCCGGAUUAAUACCGCAUACGACCUACGGGUGAAAGGGGGGGAUCGCAAGACCUCUCGCUAUUGGAGCGGCCGAUAUCAGAUUAGGUAUGUGGUGGGGUAAAGGCCUACCAAGCCUGCGAUCUGUAGUUGGUCUGAGAGGACGACCAGCCACACUGGGACUGAGACACGGCCCAGACUCCUACGGGAGGCAGCAGUGGGGAAUUUUGGACAAUGGGCGCAAGCCUGAUCCAGCAAUGCCGCGUGCAGGAAGAAGGCCUUCGGGUUGUAAACUGCCUUUGUCAGGGAAGAAAUCCUCUAGGCUAAUACCUUGGGGGGAUGACGGUACCAGAAGAAUAAGCACCGGCUAACUACGUGCCAGCAGCCGCCGUAACAC